CGUGUAGGCGGCUCAUCAAGUCUGGUGUGAAAACGCAAGGCCUAACCUUGCAUAGGCGCUGGAAACUGGUGGGCUUGAGUUCCUGAGGGGAAGCUGGAAUUCCAGGUGUAGGGGUGAAAUCUGUAGAUAUCUGGAAGAACACCGGUGGCGAAGGCGAGCUUCUAUCAGAGGACUGACGCUGAGGCGCGAAAGCGUGGGGAGCAAACAGGAUUAGAUACCCUGGUAGUCCACGCUGUAAACGAUGUGCACUAGGCGUGGGGCACGUACGUGUUCUGUGCCGUAGUUAACGUGUUAAGUGCACCGCCUGGGGAGUAUGCUCGCAAGGGUGAA
rnacentral:rRNA from 1 species